UGGCUGUUGGCGGCGUUGCAGGUAAGCUCGUGUGCGGCGGCGGAGUCGGCAUCGGCUGCAGCGGGAGACUUUGGCACGAUGUCUCACACCAUCUUUCUGGUACAGCCUACCAAGAGGCCAGAAGGCAGAACUUACGCUGACUAUGAAUCUGUGAAUGAGUGUAUGGAAGGUGUUUGUAAAAUGUAUGAAGAACAUCUGAAGAGAAUGAAUCCCAACAGCCCCUCUAUCACAUAUGAUAUCAGUCAGUUGUUUGAUUUUAUUGAUGACCUGGCAGACCUCAGCUGCCUUGUUUACCGAGCUGAUACCCAGACAUACCAGCCUUAUAACAAAGAUUGGAUUAAAGAGAAGAUCUACAUGCUCCUUCGUCAACAGGCCCAACAGGCUGGGAAAUAGUUGAGUUUGGAAGCAUUAGGGGAACGGGGGUGUGCUUGGAACACAGAUGUGUGCAGUGUGCUGUAGUGGAAGUUUUGUAUUAUAGUUAUCCUGUUUCCAUUUUGGUAUACCCUACCCAGAAUUGAAUGUAUUAGAUAAAAUGUGAUGAUCUUGUCCAAUCUGAAAACCCCUUUGCCCCCCUCCCCCCCUUUUUUUACUUAAACAUUUUUAUGAUGAUUUAGAUGGAAGUUGGUUUUUGUCAGUUAACGUUGGUUCCAGUCCCUCAAACUGUUCAUACCUGCUUUAUAACAUCCACUGUACUAAUCCUCCUUCAAAUUGGGGUGGGAAGUGGAGGCGCAGUUUAGUUACAUCCUCAAGAUAAAGUCUUGGUGAAAAACAAAUAAAUGUUCUUUAGUUAAAAAAAAAAAAA